rnacentral:rRNA from 1 species
UACGUAGGGUGCAAGCGUUAAUCGGAAUUACUGGGCGUAAAGCGCGCGCAGGCGGUUUCUCAAGUCAGUGGUGAAAGCCCGGAGCUCAACUCCGGAACUGCCAUUGAAACUGUGAAACUUGAGGACGAGAGAGGUGAGUGGAAUUCCCAGUGUAGAGGUGAAAUUCGUAGAUAUUCGCAAGAACACCAGUGGCGAAGGCGGCUCACUGGCCCGGUACUGACGCUGAGGUGCGAAAGCGUGGGGAGCAAACAGG